rnacentral:lncRNA from 1 species
GGGCUGCUGGCUACACACGCAUUUAACAUCAUCUAGUGACCAGAAAAGCUCUCCCCAACCUCUUUUUGUGAGACUUAAGUGAUUCUUGUGAAAUCUUUUAGUUGGGUUGAGAGAGUGAUUCUGUGCGAGUAUUAGUGAGUUGAAAAGAGCAAUCCAUAGCUUGACCCAUAGCUUGAGCACUUGUGGUUCGCAUCAAGAAAGGCUUUGAAGCAUUUGUUACUCUUGGAGGUGUGCCUCCUAGAUGGCUAGGAGUCGCCGGCUAGCUCCCAAGGUGUGGUGAGUAGCGGCAAGUUUGUGAGGCUGCGAUCUUGCUUCUGCAAGGAAAAAGAUCAUCUAGUGGAGACGAGGAAAGUUGUUGAAAGAGACCCGACUUGUUGGAAGGGAGUUGAAAGAGGCUCGUAUUCCAAUAGGCUCCUCAACAGAGAUGUAUGAUUCAUUGCGGUGAAUCUGAACUUCGGGUAAAUAAAUCCUCGUGUCUUCCUUUCGUUUGUCUCACUUGUUGAUUUCUAGCAAAUUACUUGUGCUUCUGCUUCGAUCUACUUGGAUGUGCUUGUCUUGUGUGCAGGGACUACUUUACCCUGCCAGAUAUCAUCUACAAAAGCCACUCUCAAAGUUCAGUUGGUGCUAGAAGUCAAGGAGGGACACGAGCAGAGCUUGGUGUGUGCUCAGCCCUGUACACCGAUCCGAGCAACCGGUCUGACCGGUUUGGCCUGACCAGUGCGGCUGAGUGAGUUGAAGUUUUAUAAAUUGGUUAACUCGCCUAUUCACCCCCCUCUAGGCGACAUCUCGAUCCUUUUAAGAUUGUUUCACUUAUUUUCGUCAAAUCGAAGCUAGCAGACCUAUUCUUCUAUAGGUUUUCCAUGUAACAAUCAUAAAUAUAUGAAAAAGUGUAUUUUUCAUCCCUCAAGUAUUGCAAAAGUGUGGCAUUCAUCCCUCAUGUUUCAUUUGGUGCAAAUCAACACCUUAACUAACUAAACCAAUACAUUUAUCAUUGAUAUAAUACUUUUGCAAUAUUUGAGGGAUGAAAAAAAUACAUUUUUCCUAAAAUAUAUGGUUAAUAUUGUUGAUCUUAGAUCAUUAUUGCAUGU